GGAUAAUAGUGAACAGUUUUAAGGAAUUGGAAGGAGGAGCCAUUGGCGCUCUACAGAAGGAUGAACCGGGUAAACCAACCGUUUACCCGGUUGGCCCGCUUAUUCAGAUGGAUUCGGGUAGUAAGGUUGACGGGUCGGAGUGUAUGACGUGGCUGGAUGAACAGCCGCGUGGCUCUGUGUUAUACAUAUCGUACGGUAGUGGUGG
rnacentral:misc_RNA from 1 species